rnacentral:misc_RNA from 1 species
GUGAUGGCGAGCGUAUGUGCGUGCGGUGUCAUUCUUGGGCACAGGUGCGUCUGUACACUUGUGUGCUGGGACUCAGUCCGUCAAGCUGCGCUGCAAGGUGCUCAAUGCGAAACGAGCCUCAUUCCAGCCAAAUACGCCACGAUAACAGACAGUUUGCAUACGACCUUUAAACGACAGCGAAGCAGCAGCACAAUCGGCCCCGAAAAAAAAAGAAUCGUGUAGAAAGGUACUCUGGUGGUGCUAACCUGCUUGCGUUGUAUCCAUCAUGUUGAUGAGGAGCGGCGAGGGGCUGGUGGCGUGAGUAGAGCACUUGGGAAGGGCGCGAGCGGCGGGAACUCACACGCCAUACCACCUCACUGCCCUCGUCAUUUUACCUCUUUUCUUUAUCUUCUCUGAGGACGCCCGGCACCUCCCCGUGGCAUCACAGGGCCCAGCGACCACACUCUCUGUGGAACCCGUGAGCCUGCAGCCUGCCCUUGGGGGCACGGAGGCGGGCGCUUGGUGUCGGCGGACAGGCCUGAGCUGGCGCUGUGCCGAGGGGACCUGCGGGCCGUGAUGCGGGUUGGACGAGGCCACAGCGGAUGGCGUCUGCGAUGCAACAAGUGUGCGCGCGCCGCUGGCCCGUCGCGUGCGCCCGCCAUUUCAGUACGUCUUUGGUCGUUGUGAAUGGGGGCACAACGGCACGGUGGACGGGCUUGCAAGAUCGGGCGUGCCAGAGGAGCGGACGGCGGCUGCACGAGCUGCGGAUUUGGCCACUGCUCUGAGGCGCCAGGCCGACAUCCCCCGCAGCCGUGGUACGCGCGCUGCGACAAGAGCACGUUGGCGGCAGCUGCCCCACCCCAGAGGAGCAAGGAUGCUGCGCUUGCGGGACGGCAGGGGACGAUCCUGGCGCAGCUGCGCGCGGGCGUCUGUCCUUGCUGCAGAUUCGUUCAGCGGCGGGCGGCUUGCAGCGGCAGGGAGGAGCGCCGGCGGCGUGCUGGCUAACUGCUCCGCUGGCGGUGUGAUACCGCACGCCCGCCUGCUUUUGGUGUGAGGGCGUGCGCUCCGGCGCUGUGCCCGGUGUGCCACGCGCGGUUCCGCGGAUCGCUGGAGGCUCGAGGCAGACUGCACAUCGGGCUUGAUGGUGCACGCAAUGGUGCGGCCGCGCACGUCUCACUCGCGCAGCAUGGGCCUCCCCCGUCGGGUGUCUGCGGCUGCUCCCUGUGCCCCUUCAGGGCGGCCGUGCGGAAGCUCUUUGUGCGCUGGCGCGUGAUUGUCCGCGUGCCCCUUCCACUUGCCACACACACCCGCUCCUGUCACGCGCGUGCGGAUUGAGGAGGUGGAGCGCCCCUGCCGGCACAGACUCGUAGCCGCGCCGACACGCCUCCUCCCUCUCCUCCCUCUCCUCCCGCUCCUCUCUCCCCUCGCAUGGCAUCGACGGGAAACGGCAGAUGAGGGCAGCGAGCCACCCCCCUUCCCCCCCUCCCUCCCCCCGUGCACACAGUGGAUGCGUGCGAAGUGUGCGGCCUCUCCCCCAUGCGGCCGGGCGGGUGCGAUGAGGCACGACGAGAGCGCCGCGAAUGGCGGCGUCGAGCCCUCCCGACUGCGGUGUGACGGGUGCCCACACCACCUUGUGUGAUGCCGCGGCUGGAAGCGACUGAGAGGGCGCAGCACGUGUGCGAAGGAAGGGACGAGGAAGGACAGGAGGAGCCUGCCUAGACGCGUGGCCCCGAUCCGGCGGCUGGACGCUGCGCCCUCGAGGACCCGGAUGUAGUCGCGGCGCCACAGGAGGUGGGUGCGCUGCGGUUGGAUGCGUAUACGUUUUCUGACUUGGGCGCGCUAGAUGGGCACGUUGAAGUCUAAUGGUGUUGUUUGUGUUGUUGUCGUUUUUUUCGUCUCACAUGUGCUUGCCUUUGCUAUCUUACUGCUCUUGUGUGUGUACGUUGUAACUGUUUUACUAGGGCGCGUCGCGAGCGCGGGUGUGCUUGUGUUCGAUGCGACAGUGCAUUGGUGGUGUCUCUGAUGCUGAGCGGCGCAGCAUGUUUUCCUGCAUCUCUUUUUCUUGUUUUUGGUGUUUGUGGCGUUUUUCUUUGUUUUUCAAUGUGCUGUGGAUCACUUUUUUUUCUCGGUGGCUGUCGUUAGGGGAGAAGGUACUGAUGAAGUGUUUGCGCGCACCUGCACACGUUCUUGUUUCUCGCUCCUUUUUUGAGUUGUGGUGUCUGCCAUGCGUUCUCGCUUUCUUUCGUGUGAUUCACUUACGACGUUCUUUUUCUUCCCUCGUACUUGUAGUCGUGUUUCUUUCCACAUUGUUCGUCAAGGUCUUGCCGUUGUCAGCCUCGCGUAUAUGGGCGUGUGUGUAUCUGCAAGUGUGUGUGAUGGUAAUCUUUUUCCAUUGCCAUUGUUUUGCGGUUUCAAGUCACUUUUCUUCCCCUUUUAGGCAUGCCUAACUUCAUCAGCUCAACCUUUUCACCCAACCGUUGCCUCUGCAGUUUGGUGCCGCUGUACUCGUACGCUUGUGUGUGCUUGACCAUGUUCGUGAUGUCUGCUGCUCCCCGUCUUGUGGAUCGCCCCUGCUUGUGUGAUCCCUGCCACGAUGCCACGGCCCGUUUACGGGAGCCACGGAGAACAGGGCAGGGGGGCGGCCCGGCGGCGUGCGCUAGUCACCUCGUCUGUUUUUUUUUUGUGUGCUCGCUGUUUCUUCUUCCGUUGGUUUUUUAUUGUAUCAUACCUUCUCCCCACAUGGCUUGCCUCUUGCCACCGUUCCCUCGUCAAGACUCAUUUAACGCCCCCCUCCUCCUCCCUCGUUCCCUCCCGCCUUUUGCUCUAUCGUUGCUGUUCUGCUAGCGAAACAGGGUUCGAUUACCGCAGUGGAAAAAACGAAACAACAACAAAAAAAAGGUAAACCACGG